GAUGAACGCUAGCGGCAGGCUUAAUACAUGCAAGUCGUGGGGCAGCAGGACUGUAGCAAUACAGUUGCUGGCGACCGGCAAGCGGGUGCGGAACACGUACGCAACUUACCCUGAACUGGGGGAUAGCCCGGGGAAACCCGGAUUAAUACCCCGUAAUAUAAUGGCGUGGCAUCCCUUUAUUAUUAAAGCUCCGGCGGUUCGGGAUGGGCGUGCGGCUGAUUAGGUAGUUGGUUGAGGUAACGGCUCACCAAGCCUACGAUCAGUAACUGGUGUGAGAGCACGACCAGUCAGACGGGCACUGAGACACGGGCCCGAAUCGUAUGGGGGGCAGCAGUAAGGAAUAUUGGGCAAUGGAGGCAACUCGGACCCAGCCAUGCCGGGUGGAGGAGGAAGGCGCUCGGGGUUGUAAACUUCUUUGAUAGGGGACGAAACCUGUGUAUUCUUACGCAGUUGACGGUACCCUAGGAAUAAGCACCGGCUAACUCCGUG
rnacentral:rRNA from 1 species